UUUCGCAAUGCCCGAAAGGGUGACGAAGCGACGCCGCGUGCGGGAAGAAGGCCUUCGGGUUGUAAACCGCUGUCGGGAGUUAAGAAAUGUAAGGAUGUUAAUAGCAUCUUUGCUUGACUAAGGCUCCGGAGGAAGCCACGGCUAACUCUGUGCCAGCAGCCGCGGUAAUACAGAGGUGGCAAGCGUUGUUCGGAAUUAUUGGGCGUAAAGAGCACGUAGGCGGUUCUGCAAGUCGGCUGUGAAAGCCUUCCGCUCAACGGAAGAACAGCAUCCGAUACUGCAUGGCUUGAGUGCGGGAGGGGAGAGUGGAACUUCUGGUGGAGCGGUGAAAUGCGUAGAUAUCAGAAGGAACGCCGGCGGCGAAAGCGGCUCUCUGGCCCAUAACUGACGCUGAGUGUGCGAAAGCUAGGGGAGCAAACGGGAUUAGAUACCCCGGUAGUCCUAGCCGUAAACGAUGGGCACUAAGUAGAGGGGUUUU
rnacentral:rRNA from 1 species